GACGAACGCUGGCGGCGUGCUUAACACAUGCAAGUCGAACGGAAAGGCCCUGCUUUUGUGGGGUGCUCGAGUGGCGAACGGGUGAGUAACACGUGAGUAACCUGCCCUUGACUUUGGGAUAACUUCAGGAAACUGGGGCUAAUACCGGAUAGGAGCUCCUGCUGCAUGGUGGGGGUUGGAAAGUUUCGGCGGUUGGGGAUGGACUCGCGGCUUAUCAGCUUGUUGGUGAGGUAGUGGCUUACCAAGGCUUUGACGGGUAGCCGGCCUGAGAGGGUGACCGGCCACAUGGGGACUGAGAUACGGCCCAGACUCCUACGGGAGGCAGCAGUGGGGAAUAUUGCACAAUGGGCGGAAGCCUGAUGCAGCAACGCCGCGUGCGGGAUGACGGCCUUCGGGUUGUAAACCGCUUUCGCAUGUGACGAAGCGUGAGUGACGGUAAUGGGUAAAGAAGCACCGGCUAACUACGUG
rnacentral:rRNA from 1 species